AGAGUUUGAUCAUGGCUCAGAUUGAACGCUGGCGGCAUGCUUUACACAUGCAAGUCGAACGGGCUGGGGGCAACUCCAGUCAGUGGCGAACGGGUGAGUAAUGCAUCGGAACGUACCCCGUAGUGGGGGAUAACGCCGCGAAAGCGGCGCUAAUACCGCAUAUGCUCUACGGAGGAAAGUGGGGGACCGCAAGGCCUCACGCUAUGGGAGCGGCCGAUGUCCGAUUAGCUAGUUGGUGGGGUAAAGGCCUACCAAGGCGACGAUCGGUAGCUGGUCUGAGAGGAUGAUCAGCCACACUGGGACUGAGACACGGCCCAGACUCCUACGGGAGGCAGCAGUGGGGAAUUUUGGACAAUGGGGGCAACCCUGAUCCAGCCAUGCCGCGUGCGGGAAGAAGGCCUUCGGGUUGUAAACCGCUUUUAGCCGGAAAGAAAAGGUUCUCCCUAACACGGGGGGCUUUUGACGGUACCGGCGGAAUAAGCACCGGCUAACUACGUGCCAGCAGCCGCGGUAAUACGUAGGGUGCGAGCGUUAAUCGGAAUUACUGGGCGUAAAGCGUGCGCAGGCGGUUCGCCGUGUCCUGUGUGAAAUCCCCGGGCUCAACCUGGGAACUGCAUGGGAAACUGGCGGGCUUGAGUGUGGCA
rnacentral:rRNA from 1 species